GACGAACGCUGGCGGCGUGCUUAACACAUGCAAGUCGAACGGAAAGACCCUGCUUUUGUGGGGUGCUCGAGUGGCGAACGGGUGAGUAACACGUGAGUAACCUGCCCUUGACUUUGGGAUAACUUCAGGAAACUGGGGCUAAUACCGGAUAGGAGCUCCUGCUGCAUGGUGGGGGUUGGAAAGUUUCGGCGGUUGGGGAUGGACUCGCGGCUUAUCAGCUUGUUGGUGGGGUAGUGGCUUACCAAGGCUUUGACGGGUAGCCGGCCUGAGAGGGUGACCGGCCACAUUGGGACUGGGAUACGGCCCAGACUCCUACGGGAGGCAGCAGUGGGGAAUAUUGCACAAUGGGCGGAAGCCUGAUGCAGCAACGCCGCGUGCGGGAUGACGGCCUUCGGGUUGUAAACCGCUUUCGCCUGUGACGAAGCGUGAGUGACGGUAAUGGGUAAAGAAGCACCGGCUAACUACGUG
rnacentral:rRNA from 1 species